rnacentral:rRNA from 1 species
AUCUGGUUGAUCCUGCCAGUAGUCAUACGCUCGUCUCAAAGAUUAAUCCAUGCAUGUGUAAGUGUAAAUAUCAAAGGAUUGGAACUGCGCAAUGGCUCAUUAUAUCAGUUAUAGUUUAUUUGGUGAAGUGUACUACUUGGAUAACCGUAGUAAUUCUAGGGCUAAUACAUGAGAAAGUCCUCUGGUGAGGUGUGUUUAUUAGAAUGAAAACCAUAUGCUUCGGCAUGAUAGUGAGUAAUAGUAACCUAUCGUAUCGCAUGCUUAAUGUAGCGAUGAGUCUUUCAAGUUUCUGCCCUAUCAGCUUUCGAUGGUAGUAUAUGGGCCUACCAUGGCAGUAACGGGUAACGAAGAAUUUGGGUUCGAUUUCGGAGAGGGAGCCUGAGAGAUGGCUACCACAUCCAACGGAAGGCUAAAAGUCAGGCGCCGUAAAUUACCCAAUCCUUGACACAGGGAGGUAGUGACAAUAAAUCACAAUGCGGGACUAUACGUCUUGCAAUUGGAUUGAGAACAAUGUACAACUCUUAUCGAUAAGCCAUUGGAGGGCAAGUCUGGUGCCAGCAGCCGCCCUAAUUCCAGGUCCAAUAGCGUACUAUUAACGUUGUUGCAGUUAAAAAGCUC